rnacentral:rRNA from 1 species
UACGUAGGGGGCUAGCGUUGUCCGGAAUCAUUGGGCGUAAAGAGCGUGUAGGCGGCCCGGUAAGUCCGCUGUGAAAGUCGGGGGCUCAACCCUCGAAUGCCGGUGGAUACUGUCGGGCUAGAGUGCGGAAGAGGCGAGUGGAAUUCCUGGUGUAGCGGUGAAAUGCGCAGAUAUCAGGAGGAACACCAAUUGCGAAGGCAGCUCGCUGGGACGUAACUGACGCUGAGACGCGAAAGCGUGGGGAGCAAGCAGG